rnacentral:rRNA from 1 species
GAGCUCAAAUUUGAAAUCUGGCCCCUCCGGGGUCCGAGUUGUAAUUUGCAGAGGAUGCUUCGGGUGCGGUCCCCAUCUAAGUGCCCUGGAACGGGCCGUCAUAGAGGGUGAGAAUCCCGUCUGGGAUGGGUGGCCGUGCCCGUGUGAAGCUCCUUCGACGAGUCGAGUUGUUUGGGAAUGCAGCUCUAAAUGGGUGGUAAAUUUCAUCUAAAGCUAAAUAUUGGCCGGAGACCGAUAGCGCACAAGUAGAGUGAUCGAAAGAUGAAAAGCACUUUGAAAAGAGAGUUAAACAGCACGUGAAAUUGUUGAAAGGGAAGCGCUUGCGACCAGACUCGCCCGCGGGGGUUCAGCCGGUACUCGUACCGGUGUAUUCCCCCGUGGGCGGGCCAGCGUCGGUUUGGGCGGCCGGUCAAAGGCCCCCGGAAUGUGUCGCCUCUCGGGGCGUCUUAUAGCCGGGGGUGCAAUGCGGCCAGCCUGGACCGAGGAACGCGCUUCGGCACGGACGCUGGCGUAAUGGUCGUAAGCGGCCCGUCUU